rnacentral:rRNA from 1 species
GACGGAGGAUGCAAGUGUUAUCCGGAAUCACUGGGCGUAAAGCGUCUGUAGGUCGUUUAAAAAGUCUACUGUUAAAAAUUGAAGCUUAACUUCAAAGGUGCCGUAGAAACUUUUAAACUUGAGUAUGGUAGGGGUAGAGGGAAUUCCAGUGGAGCGGUGAAAUGCGUAGAUAUUGGAAAGACCACCAAUGGCGAAGGCACUCUACUGGGCCAUUACUGACACUGAAAGACGAAAGCUAGGGGAGCAAAUGGG